UCGAACGGCAGCACGGGGGCAACCCUGGGUGGCGAGUGGCGAACGGGUGAGUNNNNNNUCGGAACGUGCCCAAUAGUGGGGGAUAGCUCGGCGAAAGCCGGAUUAAUACCGCAUACGCACUAUGGUGGAAAGCAGGGGAUCGCAAGACCUUGCGCUAUUGGAGCGGCCGAUGUCGGAUUAGCUAGUUGGUGGGGUAAAGGCCCACCAAGGCUACGAUCCGUAGCUGGUCUGAGAGGACGACCAGCCACACUGGGACUGAGACACGGCCCAGACUCCUACGGGAGGCAGCAGUGGGGAAUUUUGGACAAUGGGGGAAACCCUGAUCCAGCCAUGCCGCGUGUGUGAAGAAGGCCUUCGGGUUGUAAAGCACUUUUGGCGGGAACGAAACGGCGAGUACUAAUACUUC
rnacentral:rRNA from 1 species